GACGAACGCUGGCGGCGUGCCUAACACAUGCAAGUGGAGCGACGAACCGGGCGUUCGGCCCGGGGCAAAGCCGCGAACGGGUGAGUAACACGUGGGUAACCUGCCCUGAUGAUUGGGACAACCCGAGGAAACUCGGGCUAAUACCGAAUGUGCCCUCCGGCCAUAAGGCCGCUGGGAAGAGCUUCGGCCUCGCAUCGGGAUGGGCCCG
rnacentral:rRNA from 1 species